rnacentral:rRNA from 1 species
CGGCGGACGGGUGAGUAAUGUCUGGGAAACUGCCUGAUGGAGGGGGAUAACUACUGGAAACGGUAGCUAAUACCGCAUGACCUCGCAAGAGCAAAGUGGGGGACCUUCGGGCCUCACGCCAUCGGAUGUGCCCAGAUGGGAUUAGCUAGUAGGUGGGGUAAUGGCUCACCUAGGCGACGAUCCCUAGCUGGUCUGAGAGGAUGACCAGCCACACUGGAACUGAGACACGGUCCAGACUCCUACGGGAGGCAGCAGUGGGGAAUAUUGCACAAUGGGCGCAAGCCUGAUGCAGCCAUGCCGCGUGUGUGAAGAAGGCCUUAGGGUUGUAAAGCACUUUCAGCGAGGAGGAAGGGUUCAGUGUUAAUAGCACUGUUCAUUGACGUUACUCGCAGAAGAAGCACCGGCUAACUCCGUGCCAGCAGCCGCGGUAAUACGGAGGGUGCAAGCGUUAAUCGGAAUUACUGGGCGUAAAGCGCACGCAGGCGGUUUGUUAAGUCAGAUGUGAAAUCCCCGAGCUUAACUUGGGAACUGCAUUUGAAACUGGCAAGCUAGAGUCUUGUAGAGGGGGGUAGAAUUCCAGGUGUAGCGGUGAAAUGCGUAGAGAUCUGGAG